UACAGAGGGUGCAAGCGUUAAUCGGAAUUACUGGUCGUAAAGCGUGCGUAGUCGGUUAUUUAAGUCGGGUGUGAAAGCCCCGGGCUCAACCUGGGAAUUGCAUUCGAUACUGGAUAGCUAGAGUUCGGCAGAGGGAAGCGGAAUUUCCGGUGUAGCGGUGAAAUGCGUAGAUAUCGGAAGGAACAUCAGUGGCGAAAGCGGCUUCCUGGACCAGAACUGACGAUCAGGCACGAAAGCGUGGGGAGCAAACAGG
rnacentral:rRNA from 1 species